rnacentral:rRNA from 1 species
AUUGAACGCUGGCGGCAGGCCUAACACAUGCAAGUCGAGCGGAGCGGCGGACGGGCGAGUGAUUCCUAGGUAUCUGCCUGGUAGUGGGGGAUAAGGUCCGGAAACGGGCGCUAAUCCCGUAUACUAUCACAUGAGCCUAGGUCGGAUUAGCUAGUUGGUGGGGUAAUGGCGUACCAAGGCGACGAUCCGUAGCUGGUCUGAGAGGAGGAUCAGUCACACUGGAACGGAGACACGGUCCAGACUCCUACGGGAGGCAGCAGUGGGGAAUAUUGGACAAUGGGCGAAAGCCUGAUCCAGCCAUGCCGCGUGUGUGAAGAAGGUCUUCGGAUUGUAAAGCACUUUAAGUUGGGAGGCGUUACCAACAGAAGAAGCACCGGCUAACUUCGUGCCAGCAGCCGCGGUAAUAC